rnacentral:rRNA from 1 species
UCAAGCUAAUAAGAGCGCAGGGUGGAUGCCUUGGCACUAAGAGCCGAUGAAAGACGUGAUAAGCUGCGAAAAGCUUCGGGGAGGAGCAAAUAUCCAUUGAUCCGGAGAUAUCUGAAUGGGGAAACCCGGCUGAGAAGCCCUCAGCCACUGUAUGGUGAAUCCAUAGCCAUACAGAGGGAACCCGGUGAACUGAAACAUCUAAGUAGCCGGAGGAAGAGAAAGAAACAUCGAUUCCGGAAGUAGCGGCGAGCGAACCCGGAAGAGCCCAAACCAGCGUGCGUGCAUGCUGGGGUUAAGGACUGCAUAAGUGAGCUGAUUCGUUAGUGGAACUGCCUGGGAAGGCGGGCCGGAGAGGGUGAAAGCCCCGUACAUGAAAACGAUAGGCAGCGGCAGGAUCCAGAGUACCGCGAGACACGAGAAACCUUGCGGGAAGUCGGAGGGACCACCCUCCAAGGCUAAAUACUCCUUAGUGACCGAUAGCGCAUAGUACUGUGAAGGAAAGGUGAAAAGGACCCCGGGAGGGGAGUGAAAGAGAACCUGAAACCCUGUGUUUACAAACUGUGGGAGCACGUUAAGGUGCGACCGCGUACUUUUUGUAGAACGGUCCGGCGAGUUGCCGGUGCUGGCGAGGUUAAAUGGUAAAGCCAUGGAGCCGAAGGGAGACCAAGUCUCAAAUGGGCGUAAAGUCAGCACAGGCAGACCCGAAACCGGGUGACCUAUCCAUGUCCAGGAUGAAGCGGAAGUAAAAUUCCGUGGAGGUCCGGAUCCACAUCCGUUGAAAAGGGUGGGAAUGAGGUGUGGAUAGGGGAGAAAUUCCAAUCGAACCCGGAGAUAGCUGGUUCUCCUCGAAAUAGCUUUAGGGCUAGCCCCGUAUUAGUUUAGCGGAGGUAGAGCACUGAAUUCCUAAGGGGGCGUCAAAGCUUACCAAGGGAUAUCAAACUCCGAAUGCCGCAUAAAUGAUGUACGGGAGUCAGACUGCACGAGAUAAGUUGGGCAGUCAAAAGGGAAAGAGCCCAGACCUACAGCUAAGGUCCCAAAGUGUGUGUUAAGUGGAAAAGGAUGUGGGAUUUCAGAGACAACUAGGAUGUUGGCUUAGAAGCAGCCACACAUUCAAAGAGUGCGUAAUAGCUCACUAGUCGAGAGGUCCUGCGCCGAAAAUGUCCGGGGCUGAAACACAACACCGAAGCUUAGGAAUGUAGUAAUACAUUGGUAGAGGAGCAUUCUUAAAGGGAAGAAGCAGUACCGACAAGGAGCUGUGGACAUUUAAGAAGAGAGAAUGCCGGAAUGAGUAGCGAGAUGGAGGUGGGAAUCCUCCAGGCCGAAUAUCCAAGGUUUCCAGAGUAAAGCUGAUCUGCUCUGGGUAAGUCGGGGCCUAAGGUAAGGCUGAGAAGCGUAGCCGAUGGACAACAGGUUGAGAUUCCUGUACCGCGUAUCAUCAGAACUGUGGGGACACAGAAGGACAGCACAGCCCGGGAAUGGAAAGACCGGGGCAAGCAGGGUAGGAGUUAAGCUGGCAAAUCCGCUUGACGAUCCGAAGCUGUGAUGCGGAGCGAAUUUAAGUAGUGAAGUGUGUGAUUCCGGCUGUCAAGAAAAGCCGCUAUUGUGUGAUACGUGCCCGUACCGUAAACCGACACAGGUAGAUGAGGAGAGAAUCCUAAGGCCGGCGGGAGAAGCAUUGUUAAGGAACUCGGCAAAAUGACCCUGUAACUUCGGGAGAAAGGGUGCCUGGGAAACCAGGCCGCAGAGAAUAGGCUCAAGCAACUGUUUAGCAAAAACACAGGUCUAUGCAAAACCGUAAGGUGAGGUAUAUGGGCUGACGCCUGCCCGGUGCUGGAAGGUUAAGAGGAGGGGUUAGCGCAAGCGAAGCUCUGAAUUGAAGCCCCAGUAAACGGCGGCCGUAACUAUAACGGUCCUAAGGUAGCGAAAUUCCUUGUCGGGUAAGUUCCGACCCGCACGAAAGGCGUAAUGAUUUGAGCGCUGUCUCGACAAUGCACCCGGUGAAAUUGAAAUACCAGUGAAGAUGCUGGUUACCCGCGCCAGGACGGAAAGACCCCAUGGAGCUUUACUCCAGCUUGAUACUGGGAUUCGGUACUGCAUGUACAGGAUAGGUGGGAGACUGAGAAACUUGGACGCCAGUCUGAGAUGAGUCGCUGUUGGGAUACCACCCCUGCGGUAUUGGAUUUCUAACCUGCAGCCGUUAGCCGGCUGGGGGACAAUGUCAGGCGGGGAGUUUGACUGGGGCGGUCGCCUCCGAAAGGGUAUCGGAGGCGCUCAAAGGUUCCCUCAUAAUGGUUGGAAACCAUUAGAAGAGUGCAAAGGCAUAAGGGAGCUUGACUGCGACACCGACGGGUGGAGCAGGUAGGAAACUAGGACUUAGUGAUCCGGUGGUAUGAAAGUGGGAUUGCCAUCGCUCAACGGAUAAAAGCUACCCUGGGGAUAACAGGCUUAUCACUCCCAAGAGUUCACAUCGACGGAGUGGUUUGGCACCUCGAUGUCGGCUCAUCGCAUCCUGGGGCUGUAGCAGGUCCCAAGGGUUGGGCUGUUCGCCCAUUAAAGCGGUACGCGAGCUGGGUUCAGAACGUCGUGAGACAGUU